AAAUAUGCUAGAAGCAGACAUAACCAAACCAAGUGUUGGGAGCCCACAAACACUAGAUUUUGGUUAUGCUGUGACAACUUCAUAUCCGGGAAAAAGAGAGACAACCCUCUAUCACCUGACUACGUUCCUUUAAUCUUCAAUUAUGUUCCAUCCUCGGAGAAGAGAAAAAGAAGAAGGCGGUUAGAUGUAGUCAACAGAAGAACCAACUUCAAAGAAUAGAGAAAGCAGCAAAGCCGUCCGCUGCAGCAGUGGUGGAUCUAACAGACUGUCCUCAAGACAACAGCAAGCGUCCUACUGCAGACCAGGUGAAGGAAUCUAACAUCAACAAA